CCGGCGACCGGCGCACGGUGAGUAACACGUAUGCAACCUGGCCGUGACAGAUGGAUAACCGGGAGAAAUCCCGCCUAAUACAACAUAAUGCCGGGAGGGGACAUCCCCUGCCGGCCAAAGGGGGCGACCCCGGUCACGGAUGGGCAUGCGGCGCAUUAGGUAGUUGGUGGGGCAACGGCCCACCAAGCCGACGAUGCGUAGGGGUUCUGAGAGGAAGGUCCCCCACAUUGGAACUGAGACACGGUCCAAACUCCUACGGAAGGCAGCAG
rnacentral:rRNA from 1 species